rnacentral:tRNA from 1 species
AGUGGGUUGGCUCAGUGCUUAGAGCUUAGGUCUUGUAAACAAAAGAUAGCGGGAUCGAAUCCCGCUAGACGCUG